GCCUAGUUAGCUUAGUUGGUAGUGCGUCUGCCUUGUAAGCGCUAGGCCGCGGGUUCGAUUCCCGCCCGAGGUG
rnacentral:tRNA from 1 species